rnacentral:rRNA from 1 species
CGGACGGGUGAGUAACGCGUGAGUGACCUGCCCCGAGGUGGGGGACAACCGUGGGAAACCACGGCUAAUACCCCGUAGUCCUGUGCGUACUGGUUGCGUACAGGUAUAGCUCCGGCGCCUUGGGAGGGGCUCGCGGUCGAUUAGCUAGUUGGUGGGGUAACGGCCUACCAAGGCGACGAUCGAUAGCUGGUCUGAGAGGACGAUCAGCCACACUGGGACUGAGAUACGGCCCAGACCCCUACGGGGGGCAGCAGCAAGGAAUAUUGGACAAUGGGCGCAAGCCUGAUCCAGCAACGCCGCGUGGAGGAAGAAGGCUUCGGUUGUAAACUCCUUUUGUGAGGGAUGAGACAAGGACAGUACCUCACGAAUAAGUCACGGCUAACUAGGUGCCAGCAGCCGCGGUAACACCUAGGUGACAAGCGUUAUCCGGAUUUACUGGGCGUAAAGGGCUCGCAGACGGCAGCUCAAGUCCGGCGUGAAAUCUCCUGGCUUAACCAGGAGGGGUCGUCGGAUACUGUGCUGCUAGAGGCAGUGAGAGGGGUGCGGAAUUCUCGGUGGAGUGGUGGAAUACGUAGAUAUCGAGAGGAACACCAGUGGCGAAAGCGGCGCCCUGGCACUGACCUGACGUUCAUGAGCGAAAGCGUGGGGAGCGAAUGGGAUUAGAUACCCCAGUAGUC